ACACGGUUGAAAGCAGUCACUGCGGUGCUGCUGCUUGAACAACAGCUGAAAACUGCGUUGUGUGCGUUAUCUGUGUUGUGAAUUUUUAUGCACAAGUCAGUACAUGUGAGCUCUAUGGUGUGUUAGCUGUCAUUGGUAUAAUGAGGAGUUCGUUAGAAAAUGCCCACUGCAUUAUUAAAUGGACAACACCACUCAUUUUCAACUAAAGUAGUGGCUCAAAAGUAAAGGUCGUCGGUAAAUCCACGCAAAGAUGAAUCCGCAGGCACUCCUCGAAAAUAUGGGUUGGAAACAGGGCCAAGGCUUAGGCCGUCGAAACCAAGGCAUCCUUACAGUAAUUAAGCCGAAGGUACAAUUCGAUCGCAAUGGCCUUGGGCUUAAUUCAGGAGUUUGCCUCGUGGAGCCCUGGUGGGCCAAAAUGUACAACCAAACAGCUCAAAACAUUUCCAUAACGGAAUCUAAUGAGAGUUCGGAUGGGGAAUCUUCGUCAGAGAUGCCAGUGAAAGAUAUUACUGUAAAGAAACAAAAGAAAAGCAAACAACAGAAUUUACCUAACGCGAGUACAGAAGUCAUCGACACAAGGGAACUCAGUACAAAUGUAAAACUCAAAGAGUUAGUAGAUGCAAACAAUUUGGGGAAACAAAAAACAGUACAGGACAACACACAGCAAAAUCCAGUCAUUAAGAAAAGUAAAAAACAAAAACAUGCUGAACGAAAACGAUCUCCAACAUGUGAAGCUGUUAAAAAUUGUCGACCUUCAAAUGGCCCUCAGAGAACUUUAACUUCGAAAAAGCCGGGCGUCAAAAAAAAAUCGAUAACAAAAAGCUCUGUAGCGCCGGAUUUUUUGGGGAUCAAAUGUAGCAUGUAUAAACAUUUUAUAAAAAGCACCACUCUUCGGGCUGAUGAUUUUAUUAAACCUAUUUUGAAGGAUUCAUUAGAUUCAACAAGCGAUGAUCAAAAAGCUCAGGAGUCCUUGAAGUUCUCUAAUUGUCAGGAAAUAAAGGCCAGAAAAAACGAUAUGGUUAUGGUCAACCCAAUAGAUAACAGUAUGUGGCAAAACUGCGAAGGUCGAACAGCACAUGAAGGAGCUAGGUACGGAGUUUUGAAGGGCAAACUGGCUAGACUAAUGCGACAAGAAAAUCAACAUAAGAUUUUUACGUCAGCAAAAGUGCCGGAUAAGGCUUACAUAUAAGAGUAAAUAAACAAUCCACUUUCUGAGACACUGUCUAUUAUUAUGUACACGGUUUGUUUUUCACUACUGUCUGUUUAUUUCACUUGCUGCGAUACUGUUGGAAGGCAAAGGCGUCUGCUAACUGUUUUUUGCUUGAAGCAAAAUUCACGAAAAUGAAGACCAAUAAUUAAAUUCAUUAUAUAAAGCGUAGAACAUAUGCCGUAGAACAUAAUUGAGCAAAGCAACAACACAAGAGAAUUGACUAAAAUUGAUGAGAGUCACCUACAUAUGUUUUUUGGCGUUGUACUGUGCUAAAAUUAAGUCAAAAAAGAGCUACAGCAACGAAAGUAACGAAUUUUUAUCAUUGUUGCAGUACUUAAUUCUUAUUAUUUUUUUUCGCGGACAAGAGAGGUGCCCAUAUUUUAUUUUAGGUUUUAGUGCAAUUCCGUUAUUACUGUUAUAUGGACACAAUAAAUUAGCAUGGGAUAAUUGCACAUAGGCAUUUCUCAGGGCUGAUUUUUAGUACGAACUAGACAUGAUAACAGUGACUCGUUGGUAAUCCUCCGUCUAUAACUAUAUGCAAUUUGAAAGGCAUAAAAGGUUUGCAAAAUAAAACAAUUUUAAUGGACACAGUAGGUGGCGCACAAUCUGCGUCUAUUUUUUGCACAGUUAAUGGAGAGAACGGCCUUUCAGCACGUCGUUCGCAUCAUGAUUUAACCAUGAAUGCCCCAUAAUCAAGUUGGCGGCUGAAUUGCCCGGCACAGACGGCGCGCUGACUUCUAGAUUCUCGUAGCCUUUGAUACAGAGAUAUGAUAUAUCUUUCAACAGGUCAAACGGGUUAAUUGUUUAUUUUACCUGCUUAUUAGUUGAAUCUUUUUUAGUACUAGAAAUGCACUUUCUGAAAUCUGGAAGAAUUGUGUUACAAUAACUCUACUAGGUGAAGCCUGGCUCGACUUCUCUUACAGACAAAUCACACUUCGGUUUUAUGGGUGAUGCUAAUAAAUUAAUCAAAUGAAAUACUAGGAGCUAGUUUGGCCUUCGGUCAUUUAGCAAGUUGUUCUCAAGUCACUGUCGAAAAAUGCGCGAAAAUAUGUUUUCCGUAACGUGAAUAUUACAGUUUUCCUGCCCGUCACGCGGUUGUAUCAGCUUGUAGGAAAAUUUAUAUUUAUCAAAAUUAUCGGUUCGAUUUAGGCAAUGUCAAGCACAGUCAUUAUAAGUUUGUUGCUAUCCUAUAAAGAGGAACUCCUGAGAUAAAAGAAUAUAAUUCUUUAAGGCAGAGUCUUGUGAUCCAGUAAUAUUUUACGAUCUUACGAUUUUAGCAUCGUGUCUUCCGUAAAGCUGAUAGCGUCCGUUUGUUGAGCUACUUGCUCUGCGCCAUAAAUAUUUCUAUUGAAUUCGAACAAUCGAACUUUUCGCCGGCUUGUUAGCUCUGUAAUUGUUAUCUAUGCAGCAUUUUUUUGCUUAGACAAACUAUUGUAAAACGAAAUCACACUUCGCAAUGAGUAGAAAUAGUUCACACAAAUUAAAGAAAUUCAUUUUCGGCGUCAUACACAUUUACUUGGUACUUGUCUGAUAACUUAGAUGGAGACUACCAAGUGUCUAUUUUGUAUUGUUGUUUUCAAACUCGCUUUAAUUUUAGAGGGAUAUUGCAUGUUACUGCCAUUUUACAUCUUAACAAAUAAGGAACCUUUAAUUUUCGUCUAUUUGAAAACUCAUUUUAAAUAAAAAAAAUAAAUAAUAUAUAUAUAUAUAUAUAUAUGCCCAAAAAAUAGUACCACCGAUUUUCGCGCGUCUACUUCAACUGCAAAGUUCGUUUUCCCAACAUCAAGUCUACGUACUUAAACUUGCUUUGAAGGUUAGAAUUUACCCAGGUUUGUAGUAAUUACUUUAUAAGUUUUAUUCGUUUGGCCAUUUCCCUUGUAUUAGGCUAACUUUUAGUGCUUGAGACACGUGCCUAAAUUGGAUUAACGAUGUAAUGUAUGUUUUUGCUUACGUAUAUUCAACUUCUCAGUUGAAGUGAAUUAUCCGAGUGCUUACGUCAACUGAUGGCACCACCGAAAUGGUGCACAUAGUAGUGAUAAACUUUACGCAGUCCUCGGUAAUUUUAUUAUAUAUAUAUAUAUAGAGUUAAGCUGAAGAUAUAGAAUACAAAAUCAGAAUUGGAAGUUUUUAUCGGAACAGGCUUAGCUGCCUUUCGCCGUAGAUUUCGAAUGCUUACAGUUUGCUUUCUCGGACAUCUUUCAGCGGGUGAUAUUACCAUAGGCAACAUGGUGCCGCAACCCCUACAGUUUGUUACAGAGCAGCUGAACUGACUUUGCCUUUGGUUCGGCCAAACCCGUAGUGUCGGUCAGUUGUACUCUAAUCUCCGCUGGAGCCAGCUGGCUGCAAUAGCAAUUCUAUAGAGAUUCAACAUUCUUUAAAUUCGUCACGGUCAAUAGGACACCUGUUGGUCCGCAUAUUGAUCGUUGCUAUACGUCAAAUUCGUUACUACGAUGUGCAGACACAACGAUUCUUGUUGUUGCCGGGCUCUGGUUUGACUACUCCGUGCACCCCACUACAUGACUGUCUGCUGAUUGAGGGCGCCUGGUUCUUCCUCGAAUACCCCAACCUUCGCCUUCAGUAUUCAAGUUAAGACGACGCCAAACUGUUUUGCAUUCUUUAUGGUUCAUCAUCUCCGUUUUAGAUCUUUAAACAAUGUGUUUUUUAGAAAAUAAUCCAUCACGCCACCGUUUCUUUGUCUACAAUUCCACUGUUUGCUCGCCUGCUGUCCAAAUGCUCCUACACUAGACCCGUUCUUAAAAUCUAGCUCUACCUUCGGCAAGAGUACAAGCACUUUGCCUAGUUUGGUUUAUUUAGUUUUGGGAAACGCAUCGAUUAGAUAGUCCACUAGAAGGGAUGGUCAAAAAACCGAAAAUAGCCCGUCGACUUAAACGCAAUAAGCUCAACCUUCCGCUUUUUUUAUUUUAUGUAGAAUUAAUUUGGAUAGAAAAAGCCGAUACAGUUUAAUAACGGUGGCGACUGGCUAGACAUAUUCCGUUCUGAUUGUUGCAAUAAAAACGUCAGACUUCACCCUCUACUUGGCAGUUCAAAGAAAUAAAGUAACUAAGUGCUAGAUGGGCGCAACGCUCAUUUAGACGAACUCUGCCUUCAUAGUUUCUUCUGCACGGUGCUUGCCGGAGUAACCCACCGCACAGAUCUACCCUUAAUUACAUUACACUGGUGAGCCUUCACUAAACUUGCCUUAGAUCAAUUUUACGGCUUGGAAAUCUAUCCAAAGAAGACCGGUGCAGUUAUAAAACCUUAAAAAAUGUAGGUUAUCUUAGUCGCAGACACCUCCCCUCUCAACAGAGAUUGAAAAAUAACAUUAGUACGGUUUUUUUUGUCCACAGGUGUGGUUUCUUGUGUUUGCUUUGCCUCUGUCGGCUUUCAAACUAUUAGGGAAGAUUUCAUUCUUUUUCUUCUGAGUUUUGACUUGUAGCAUCCUUAGAACUCCUCUGGAGGUACCGAUUUUGAAUAAAAUCAUCGUUAUGAUAACGUCUAUUUUUAUAAAAGGUACACUGCUUGGGUCACUUAACGCAAUUAAUGUUUAAUCGGCUAGCUUGCGGUUAGUUAGAUUGUAUUCACAAAAAGUAUACUAAUACUAGGACCCAUAGUAAUUAACAACACUACGUAUGUACAAGAUCUUCUUACAUUUACUUAUGAACGCCGAGCUUAUACAUUUAUUAUUUAAUUCUCGCACACUAUAUACACCACGCAUACACACUGGACUUUGUUACUGUACAGCACUCCGUUACCUCUUUGAAUCUCAUCGAAAGCGCUCUUGACCAGAACGCGACAUGUGAACCCGAACCUUUUUUUUACAAUUGCUCAUCGUUUUGCCGCUCCAUUUCCGCGUGACACAAUUAAAGAGAGCUUCAUUCUUCAACAGCGCUGUUUUAAUUGGAUUUACUUCAUAGUCAGCUGGUAGAAACUGCCUGCGUUUCCCAAGCCACUCCGCUAUUUUCGAGUAUUUAUAGCUCGAGCUAUUUCAUUACCCAGUUUAGCACUUCGAUUACAUUGCUUCCGCUCAAUUUAUUACCUGGCUACAAUUCUUCAGUUACCUUGAUUGAGAUAUCCCACUACGGUGUCCUACACAUCAUGUGGUCUAUUAACAGGAGUAUAGUACCCUAUGUUGCAUUUUUUAAAUAAAGCCAUUUUUGCGUGACCAUUGACCUGUUGUACCGCUUAUUUAGCGCGUGUUUUGCUGUUUCAAACUGAAACCGACUUAAACUUUUAGAAUUCUAUGCGGAUAUUAGACCGCCCGAAAGAUUUGAAUAUUUUUAACAAAUUCUUAACUGCCUUUUGUGAAAAAAAAAAACAUUACAUUUCGCGUUAUAGGGAAAAGUAAGAAGAGAUCGUACUUAUCACGUAGAACUCUAACGACUAAACGGUUUUUGCUUUUGGAUAUCUCAUACCUCAACCACGGCUAGUAAAACUGACUGCGAAAGUCGCAAAAAUAUAUAUCUGUAGAAAAAUAUUGGGUUAAUUCAACAAAUUAAAAUACUUAAAAAAAUACUGACGGUUUUUUUAGCUACAUAGCCUUCAUUUGUGCCGGGCCGGCGUUGGUGUUACUUGAGAGCUGAGAUUUAGUAGUCGUACAUAUGGUACAAAUCGCUGGAAGACUUGAGAUUGAACGUCAUGAAAAUGACCAACUUUUUUGCAAAUAUUUUGUUUUUUUUUGCGAUAUUUGCGAACACUUGCGAUAAAGGUAAAAAUGCUGCAUAGGACUAUGACAGAACGUGCGUUGUUUAUAGUCAAAAUGAGUUUUUGAAAGAAACCUAUGGUUCUGUCUUAUUGGUUCAGGAAAUUUCGAUGUGAAAGAUGUUCUCUUAGCGGCCGACAAAUUUCCAAAAAAAAUUUAAUGAAAUGAUUGGAAAAUGAGCGAUACGUGAACAGGUACGAAAUGGCCGAGGGACUAAACAUCUAUCACCGCUUCAAGGAAGUUGGCUAUAAAAACGAGCUUUAUUGUGCAUUAUACGAAUUGGCGCAAAAAAUUUCCAUCCGCAAAAUUCUACUGAGACGCAACGAAGUAGAGCCAUUUCUAAAACAAUGUAUUACAGUUAAAAAAAAAAGGUAGGAUAUAAACAAUAGUACACAACAGUGCGAAAACAGUGCACUUCACAAUUUGAGGCAAAGCCUGGUCUGGCGCCAAGGAGUGUGUUGCUAUAUGUUUGGUGGCACUUGAUAGAAAUCGUUCGUUAUCAACUGUUGCCGCCUGGCAAAAUCAUCUAUUGGGAUCUCUACUGUCAACAACCAACAAGAUUACAACAAGCUGUUGAAAAAUAGACAGGAAUUAGGAUGCUCUUAUCAUUAGCUAUCUGGCAAGAAUUAAUAGCGUUUAGAUAAGAAAUUUUAAUGCAUUCGUCGUAUUGCCCCGUAUCUUGUACCAUUCGACUAUCAUCAUCUGUUUGGGUUUCUGCAGAAUUCCCAUAAUGCUGUCAAUUGAACUAUAUACAAAGGUUAUUUGUCACGAUUUUUCGGCCAAAAACCGCCAAAAUUAUGCAAGGAAGAUAUUAAGCAUUACCAGAAAAUAGUAAUCAUCAAAAUAGUAAUAUUGUCGCAAGGUAUAAAAUACGUUUGUUUUCAUUUGGGCUUACAAAUCAUCAGUACUACUUUUACUACCCAAUAUGUAUAUAUAUAUCGAUGUAGCUGUCAGAAGUAUACGAACUGUCCAUGUCGCAUGAUGUUAUCUUGAGCGAAGUUUCGUUGCCAGUGAGCUUAUAAUAUUUAAUGGAAUGACGUUUCUAAUUUAAUCGCAUCACUUCUUCUCUUAAGAUAUCUACGAAGAAGCCAAUAUAUAGUGUGAGCGCGCAAGAAAAUCUCAUUAUAUCAAAUAUACUAGCUUGAUUAAACUACUAGAUGUGUUCUAGCUAUAACGGCCGAUGUCUUAACAACAGAUAAAACCAUUCUCUUCAGUAACUACGAUAAUUCCGGGACCUUUUUAGUAACCUGAGAGCAAAACUGAUAGAAGACGAUUUACCCAAUAAUAAGUCAAACAGGACCGAAAAAAAAUACUGUUUUGUAAAAUAGGCUGAAUUUGACUAUAUAGUUACCUCUGCAUAUAGCGGUUUAGUUUGAAGUUCAAUAAAAUUCAUCCACGUACGAUGCGAUAUGGAACUCAUUAAUUGUUGAUUUAUAUGGUUAGUAGUAAACGACGCGUUAUUAAAUUACCCACUCAGGGCGUUGCGUAAUCGACCGAACUUCAAAGCAAGCUUUUUUGUCAAUGAUAUAAUUUUAUGGUCGGCACAGUUAUCGGGUGUGUAAUUACUGUAUGACUUCAUCAGCUUAUUGCAGGUCGAAUCAAAAUUUAAAAUUUGCCCAGUUAGGUUAGGUGGAGAGAACACUCAAGUUAACUUUGUAAUCAAAAUGGACUGGCUACAAAGUUUCAAAAGCGAUUUCUUUACAUCCGAUAUUUGUCCUAUUUUUAAUUUAGCUGAUAAUAAUAUAUAGUUUUAUUGUGUUACUAUUUCACUUCAGUGCGAGCAAAUUGUAUAUAUAUACAAGCGUGUGGGUAUUAGUACGUUCUUGCUUUUGGCAUGUUGUCACUAGUUCACUUGAAUAGUUGAUCAUUUUGAGAUCAGAGAACAACGGCGCUAAAUAUGAUUUAGCAAUUAGUACAGCUUGUUGUAUUUCAUGCAGUAGAGACCUCCGCUGGUAAGAUGAACUCAUCGGGUCCGCAGCAAGUCACAAACAUGUACGUAGUUCAAUAGCAUAGAGUAUGUCAGGAAUAUGUAAAUGAAAGCUCGAACUUGAAGACGACAUCAACAUUCAUACCUGCAAACUCAUACAUUAAGCAGUCAAAGAAAACUGACCUUACUUUUGGCAUUUAUCUCGACUUGAAAAACCUACAUAGGUCUUAAUAUAUUCAUCAUCUGUAAUUUGUCGUAAGUACAGCAUACAGGCAACGCAGGUAAAUAAUACUAUUAGUAUUCAUUUUUUGUACGUACCGUUUUGUCAAAGUAAUGACUUCGACAGGUUGCCCUGUAAAGGCUAUCAAUCAAACCAUUUAAGAUUAGCAAAAUUGCUUUUGGUCCUUGCUUAAUUAUCUAGGAUUGCAAAGUUUUAAGUCAAGCCCCCUAGUAGCAAUUAUCGGGCGAGUCGUUCUUCUCUGACACUCGCAGGAAAUCUCAAGCCGAUUUGUAAUCUGCUGCUGCUGCCGCUACUACCCUCUCUCUGCCAGCUUUCGUGGCCGGAGAUCGGUACCGUAGCUUGAUCCCUUCCUUUAAAAACCCAGCAGCUUUCAUCCAGAGCUCAAUCUGGAGACAAUACCAAUUUGAAAAUAUCACGUCCUCGCUGUCCGAGCUGUACGACCACUUUUGAAUUCUGGUUGCGCCAAUUUAAACGCUUAUGAUUUGUCUGUCGUAAAGCCGGCGCAAAAGUAUAGGACUCAUCAUGAAGUUCCUUACAGCCCUAUCCGCUUUUAUCAUCGUAGUUGAUGCGUCGAUGAUUCCGAAAUUAACAGCGCUACCAGCCUUGGCCGGCGUUGCUGUUCCAGCCAUUAUCGGCGGUAAGUUGCUGACGGUACCCAAAAUACUCGCGAUCAAGGGUGCAAUUGGACUUACGGGUUUGAAGAUUGCGGGCGCUCAGUACCUCAAGAGGAAGAUUCUCGUCCCAGCUGCGAUAGCCGGCGCGCAGGCUGGCUACAAGGCAAGUUCAGCCGUAUUAGCUGCUCCACAGCUUGUGGCUGCGGGAAAGGCUGCAGCUAUACAGGGGGUACUCACACAUUUGCCGCAAUUCCCGAACAUCGAAGUUCAGCCUGCCCCACCUGUUCAAUUACCCGAUAUCCAGCACACGUUCCAGGUGCCAAUUAUACCUUCGCCCUCCGUUCAGUGGUAUCAAAAGCCAAUCACAUUACACCUUCCUAAGUUGGUUCUUCAGCAGCCGCAAUCAGUUCACAAAACGAUUACCAUUCAACACCACGUGGUUGAUUCACCUGUUGCAGCCGCGCCGAAACCGUCGAGCUACGCCCCGACCGAAUCUGAACUAUCUCAAGUUGGCUAUGGUGUAACGCCACAGCAGCAGCCCAUAGUCGAACAGCCUGUCUUGACACCAGAGCAAUCUGUAAGCUACGAUGCACCAGAGCUUCCAGAACCCAACCUUGGGGAGGCACCUCACUAAAGUCCAUAUGGUCUCGAUAUGGAGGAAAAGCCCAAAUUAGAGAAGAUCAAGAAAGCUUUUACAUUUGAUACCUGUGCUCUCAAUAAUUCAGAUGAUAAUAAAUCAAAUAUACACAUCAA